rnacentral:lncRNA from 1 species
GCAGCCAUGCCCCACACACACCCUGACUUUUCAUUCUUUUAUGCAAGUUCCAACAGAAGCCACAGGCUGGAGCCCUGGGAGCCCCAAACCUUCAACCCACCCCACAGUGGGCCCAGUCACAACCAAGAAUGGUGAAGCCCCUCCCCCACUCUACACUCUAGGUUCUAGUUGCUUUCUUCCGGUGUCCUCUGCGUUUGGUGUCUGGCCACGGCCCCAUUUGAGCGUCCAACUCUCUCUCCCCACCCCUCCUGGUGUUGUUCUUAACCGUCUGUGGAGUUUCUGCUGCAAGGAACAAAAAGAAAAAAAAAUUUUAAAAAAAGACC